UACGGAGGGUCCAAGCGUUAUCCGGAUUUAUUGGGUUUAAAGGGUGCGUAGGCGGCUUUUUAAGUCAGCGGUGAGAUUUUGCAGCUUAACUGUAACAGUGCCGUUGAUACUGGGGAGCUAGGAUUUGGUUGCUGUGGGUGGAAUGUGUGGUGUAGCGGUGAAAUGCUUAGAGAUCACACAGAAUAUCGAUUGCGAAGGCAGCUCACAAAGCCAAGAUUGACGCUGAGGCACGAAAGUGUGGGGAUCAAACAGGAUUAGA
rnacentral:rRNA from 1 species